rnacentral:miRNA from 9 species
GUGGGUUUUCCGGUGCCAUACG